UUCUCUUUCUUCUGUUCGAAAUUCCAUUUUAUUUUCUCUUUCUCUCGCUCUUGAACCUAGAAAUCGAAGCCUUUUAAGAAAAGUAAAAUCUUUCAUUCUUUGAUUCGUCUAUGGAAAGCAAAAAAACAAAAAAGAAAGUGAUUUUGAAGAAGAGGAAAGAGCAAAGCUUUGAUUUUGAAUUUGCUCAAGGGGAGAAGAGAAGUUGGUCUCUUGUGCUCUUCCGUCAAAGCUUUGAUCUGAGUUAGUGCAGAUUCGGUUUGGAUUAGAUUGUGAAGGAAACAUAGUACUAUGAUGUGCUCGGCGUUACAGAGUCUGAGAUCAAGAAAGCUUACUACAUCAAGAGAGGAGAUUAAACGGAGAGGACUAAUAAGGAAGAGUCUGAUGUUGAUGAGAAAAAUGUGUUUCGUUUACCGGACUUUGAAGAUGAGAUCAAGAAGUCAGAUUUAUUGGUGCGGAUGAUGAAUGUGAAACGCCGAAGUCAGAUUAUUUAUUGUAAAACGCCGAAGUCAGAUUAUUUAUGUUUACAAUGUUAUAUCCGGCUAACAAGCGAUUCCUUAGAGAGCUAAUUUUAUGUUUAACCGUACACAAAUUUAAUUAUAUGUGAAGUUAUUGGUUAUAGAGUUAAUUUUA